CUCGCACCGGCGCUGGGGUGCAGGCUUUCAGUGGUCUCAGGGCUACGGCUUGUCGGUGCCUCGCCGCACAGUCCCCUUUGCAUUGAAGGACACGGUCUUACGGUGUAGGAGCAUUUUUGAGGUGCAUUCCUGGAUUUGGAGGCGAACCCCCAAUGGUUACCUCCACAGAGGCUUUGCGAAGGGCGCUCACUGACUUAGGUGAAGAGCGAAGGCUCAAGACUGUGCCGCUUUAUAGUGGCCCCUUGACGUCCAGAAGUUCCCCCCAGCGCCGGUCAUAAGCACUCCCGCCGCCUGGGCCCCGCCCUGCCUGCCAGGCGCCCUCCAGCCUCAGCUCCCGGACGCCCGGCGUGGCCGCUUUCUCGCGUCUUGCUGACCCGGGCCGGGGGCGUGUGCUCCUCCUGCAGCGGACGGAAGAUGCUGGGCCACGCAAGUUUCCCUGGGCUUGGUUAACCACCCCAAAGCCCAUUUCCAGAAGGAAAGGGUGUUGAGGAGGAGGGAUAGAAAGUCGAGAAGAGGGCCGGGGUCUUGCUCUGUUGCUCAGGCUGGAGUGAAGUAGAGCAUUCACAGCCCACUGCAACCUUGAACACCUGGGCUCAAGCAAUCCUCCUGCCUCAGCCUCCUGAGUAGCUGGGACCACAGAUGUGUACCACCAUGCCCAGCUACAUGUCUUUCUUUUGGGGGGACAGCAGAAACCUGGGCAGAGGAGGAAUCCUGAUACCCAGUUCUGAAACAAAGUGGCAGAAUUUGUAAUACAGAAGAAGGAUCUUGUGACUGGUAUUCUGUUAUCCACAAGAGUAAAUGUUCCCAAAUAAACAAAACUGGGAUAUGAAAUGGUGGAGUGUGUGGUGCCUGUUCAUGAAAAAAAAAGGUCUAGAUUGCAAGAGUAAUAUUAGAGGAUUUUGGAGAUGUUUUACAACCAGAGAAUAAAAGACCAUCCUUUUGUCUGACAUGGUACAGUUUUAUGCCCCUUACAUGCAACAAGAAAACAAAAGCUAAAUAAAAUCGUAGGUCCUGAUCCUCCAGUGCUUAGAUACACUUAAUUUAAUUUUUGAAAUACUUAAGCCUACGUCAGAGAUCAUUGAGUAUUUAUUUGGGGGAAACAGAGGAGGCAAUGGCUCACCCCUGUCAGAGAGGAUCAACAACAUGCAGACAUUCCUUAUUAUGAGAGAUGGGUAACUGGAGUCUGCUUACCCUACUUCCAAAGCUUAAAUAUUUAGCAGUCAAAAAUGGAUAUAGAGCUGUACAAAGGAAUUGGAAACAUUCAUCUUUUUUUUUCAUUGUAGUAUCUCAAGCAUAUAGAAUGGGACUUAAAAUGAAAUACAAUAGCCCCUUGUUUGAAUCCACCCCACCCUUACAUUCACUCCCCGGAAUCAACAAGUUUUAAUUAUUUCUGCUUUUAGUCCUAUACUUCUAUAUCUCUAUUACUUCUUCUUUAAAUAAGGUGAUUAUGCCAUUAUUGCUUAAUUUACCAACUUGGUUCAUUAAUUUUUAUCAACUUUAGGAUAUUAUGAGAAUUUAGAUUUAAUGCCCCCAUACAGUUUUAUCCGCAUUUGUUUUUUUGUUUGUUUUUUUUUUCUUUUUUACCUUUGUAACUUUGGCAUUUACCAUUGUAACUCAAAAUCGUAUCAUGUUCCAUUUACAAAGAUAGAUUGUCCCUACUCUGCAACUGAAGAAAUGGACCAGGCAUGGUGGCUCAUGCCUGUAAUCCCAGCACUUUGGGAGGCUGCGGUGGGCUGAUCAUGGGGUCAGCAGUUCAAGACCAGCCUGACCGAUAUGGUGAAACCCCACCUCUACUAAAAAUACAAAAAUUAGCUGAGCAUGGUGGCGUUUUCCUGUAGCCUCAGCUACUCAGGAGGCUGAGGCACGAGAACCACUUGAACCUGGGAGGUGGAGGUUAAAGUGAGCCAAGAUCGCUCCACUGCACUCCAACUUGGGAGACAGAGCAAGACUCCAUCUCAAAAAAAAAAAAAAAAAAAGAAAAAUGGAAAUGUAUUGCUUUGAGCCUCCUUCAACCUCUAUUCUGUCUUUCCGUCUCCCAACUUUUAUAAGCUGUGUUUUUGCUUUUGUAUAUCAGAGUUGAUCAUGAUUAUGUUCUGUUCUGCAGCCAUAGCUCUCUGCCAUCUUACUAUGUAGGUUAAUUUUUUUUUUUUUUUUGUAGAGAUGAGAUCUUGCUCUGUCACCCAGACUGGAGUGCAGUGGCACGAUCAUAGCUCACUGCACCCUCAAACUCCUGGACUCAAAUCAUCCUCUACCUCUGCCUCCAUGAGUAACUGGAACUACAGGUCAACACAGAUUCUCGGAAUUAAACACUUCCAUGUCCCAGAGGAUCAAAGUCACUUGCAAAAAUACCUCAAAAUGUGUUUGUCAAGAAAUUACACUUUCUCUUGAUUUUGUGGACCACUUUCUAAUUUCCAACCCAGACAAAAGCCUCCUAGUGAAGCUGGUCUUUCCUAGCACAUCCCCCUACCCCCCCAGCCACUGUCCCAUCCCUGGAUGGCCUGUCCACAGAGAGCACUGUCUGUGUGGCCACUGGGGGAGGCAGCUGCAUCCCAGAGAUGAUGGUGUCCAGGGCAUGACGAGGAAGCUCUUUGUGUGGCCUGGAGACGUCCCGGGAGCUGGCUGGCGCCCACCUUCUCUCACUUCCUUACCACCUUCUUUCUUGUGUUGCUGCUUUCUCCUUCCCAGCUCUAAACUCCCAUGGUGCUGGAGCAGCCAGAGAAGAAGUGUUACUAGACCUGCCACUGCUACCUACAGUGAGCCCCAUUCUGCACACAGAGGCUGCGGACUCCUUUUUCCCAAUCAUAGACCAGAAUGCUUGUGAAAGAAGAUGUGGCUGUUCUGCAGGUUGGAGCUCUAGGAUCGGAAGAACUCAUCUGUAUCACAUAUGAUCCAGCUGAAAGUCCCUACAAACUGGGCCCUCUGUGUCUUUAGAAGCAGCUUCCAAGGGCAGGAAGACUUCCAGAGUGCAGGACUGAGCGUGCUGCUAAUCUUGUUCUGGUCGAGAGACUGAUGAGAGAGACAAGAAUUAUGGCGCGAGAAAAGCAGCAGCAGCAGCAGCAAGUCUGCAGAGGGGAAUGCCAAACUCGCUACUGGGUGUUUUUUUUUGUUUUGUUUUGUUUUGUUUUGUUUUGUUUUGUUUUGUUUGAUACAGAGUUUCACUCUGUCACCCAGGCUGGAGUAGAGUGGUGCCAUCUCAGCUCAUUGCAACCUCUGCCCCCUGGGUUCAAGCAAUUCUCCUGCCUCAGCCUUCCGAGUAGCUGGGAUUAUAGGCAUGUGCCACCAUGCCUGGCUAAUUUUUGUAUUUUUAGUAGAGACAGGGUUUUGCCAUGUUGGCCAGGCUGGUCUCAAACUACUGACCUCAAGUGAUCCGCCCGCCUGGCCCCCCAAAGUACUGGGAUUACAGGUGUGAGCCACCAUGCCUGGCCUGCUGUGAUUUUUCAUUGAACCUAAUUAACUCAUUUUUAGCCCCUAUUUUUGGUACAAUAAUAGAACUUAGGUUGUAAUCAACUGGUGGGUUCUUUCCGCACACUGCACAGAUAAGAUCAGUCCACAGAGACCACAGCGUUGCAGUAAAGAAAGAGUUUGAUGUGAGGCCAGCCACGUGGGAAAACUGGAGUUAUCACUCAAAUCAGUCUCCCCAAAGGCUUGGAGGUCAGGAUUUUUGUGGACAAUUUGGUGGGCAGGGAGCUAGGGAAUGGGUGUUGCUGAUGGGUAGGGGGUGAAAUCAUAGGGGUGUGGAAAACAGUCCUGAUGUGCUGAGUUUUCCUCUGGGUGGGGCCACAGGACCAGCUGAAUCAUGAAUCCAGGUGGGGCCAGUGUGAAGAACGUAUCAAAAAAUCAAUCUUAGGUUCUACAAUAGUGAUGUUAUCUAUAGGAGCAAUUGGAGAAGUCACAAAGCUUGUGACCCCUGGCCACAUGACUCCUGGGCAGUAAGAGAUUACUAUGUCUACAUUUUAGCAGAGUUCAUGCCUUUCCCACAACUCUAAUCUUGUAGCCCUUCAUUAAUCUUACAAAGGCGGUUUUCAGUCCCUGAGCAAGGAGGGGUUUAUUUUUGGGAGGGACUAUUAUCAUCCUUUAUUUCAGGUUAAACUAUAAACUAGAUUCCUGCCAAAGUUGGCUUGGUCUACGUCCAGGAAUGACAAGGACAGCUGGGAGGGCAGAAGCAAGAUGGAGUCAAUUAUGUCCAAUUUAUCUUACUGUCAUAAUUUUUCAAAGGCAGUUUCAAGGUUACUAUUCUCAUGAUUCAACACAUCCUCAAGGAGUGAGAUUCAGUCUGUGUAAGUGUAUCAUGACUUUCUAUAACACGCCUUGUCAUGCACUCUUCUACCCUGCUAGAAUUGGAGUCUGGCCUCAGCUGGUUCCUACCAGCAGUACUGCCAUCACCUCAUCCUCAUCUGCCCCAUCUGUUGUUUUGGAACCACUUGUGUCCUCUGAAAUGCAUAUGUUGAAGUCCUAACCACCUGUGCCUCAGAAUGGGACUAUGUUUGGAGAAAGGGUUUUAAAGAGGUACUUAAAGUUAAAUGAGAUCAUUACUGUGAACCCUGAUCCAAAUUGACUUAUGCCCUUAUAAGAAAAGGAAAUUUGGCCACUUACACUCACAGAGGAAGAAAUCAUUUGAAGACACAGAGAGAAGAGGGCCGAGGAGAGAGGUCUCAGAGAAACCAACCCAAUGACAUUUCGUCUUGGAUUUCCAGCCCCCAGAAUUACUGGAAAAUACAUUUUUCUUGUUUAGGCCACCCAAUCUGUACUACUUUGUUAUGGCAACCCUAGCAAACUAAUGCAGUCACCAACCCAGGGUGAAAAUGGGACAUUCCCAACUCUAGCUCUUAGGCCAAGCUUAUUUGUAAUAGAUUCUUGUUUUCAAAGGAUAUAGAUAUUGAGAUUCUCAAUGUAUUUGUUAAAAUACAUUGUUUCUUGUUAAAAGCAUAAGACUUUGAAAUGUCUCUGUGUUGCAGAUAUGUAGAUGUUCUGAGCCAUAAUUUUUGGAAAAUUCUUUCAAAGAAAAGGAAAUCUACUGGACAAAUAGCAUGAUUAAUGGGGAUCUAGUGACAAAAUAAUCUGCCCUAAUUGGAUUUGUGAUGUUUUUGCAACUUGAAAUUAGCUUCAAAAUCCAACAAUAAUACGAAAGAAUGUUCAGUAUCACGAAUCAAAUUAAAACCAUAAUUAAAUCACCUCCUUUCAUUAGGGUAGCUACUAUAAAAAAAAAGUAAAACAAAACAGAAAAUAGCAACUGUCGGCAAAGAUGUGGAGAAAUUGGAACCCUUGUGAAACCAUCCCACAGUGUUGACAAGAAUUGCAUGCUGGGUUCUGGACAGAAAUAGUUCCAAUUAAGUACUAAUCAGUCUGCACUUGGGCCCACUUACUCGUUGUUAAAAGUCAUGUAGCCCUGGAUGCUGACCAUGUACAUCUGCAUUGUUCCUAUAGAUAAGAUCUCUGACAUUAGAAUCAUAAGGCUUUUGUUUAAGGAUCACUUAUGAUGUUUUUCACACCCCAAAUUCCAGCAGCCAGUUUGAAGACUCCCACAGAGUAAUGGGAUCAAUAUGAGAAUACAGCUUCUUCAUCUCCCUAUCUCAUGACUUCACCCUCUACUCUUCCAACCAAUCAGUGAUCUCCACAUUGCAGCCCAUUCCAACACUCUUAAAAACCCCUACCCCCAAAUGCCUCAGGGAGACAGAUUUGAGGUUUCUUCUCAUCUCAUUUAGUGACCCUAUGAUUAAACCCCUUUCCUUGCUACAACCUGGUGUCUCAGCUUAUUAUUUGCUGUGUGCAUGGGGCAAUGAACCUAUUUCAGUUACACUUGUGCACUGUUGGCAAGAAGGUAAAAUGGUACAGCCACUAUGGAAAAUGGUAUGAAAGUUUCUCCAAAAAUUAAAAAUAGAAUUCUCAUGUAACCCAGCAGUCCCACUUCUGGGCAUAUAUAUCCAAAGGAAGUCAAAUUAGUAUCUCAAAGAGACCUUUGUACACCCGUGUUCAUAAUAGCAUUAUUCACAGUAGCCAGAAGUUGGGAACAAUCCAAUGUCCAUUGACAGAUGCACAGAUAAACAAAAUACGGUAUAUACAUAACAAUGGAAAAUUAUUCAGCCUUGAAAAAAACUGAAAGUCUGACAUGUACUAUAACAUGAGUGAACCUUGAGGACAGUAUGAUAAGUGAAAUGAGUCAGAAGCAAAAAGACAAAUAUUGUAUGAUUCCAUUUACAUAAGGUACCCAGAGUAGUCAAAUUCAUAGAGAUACAAGGUGUCUGCUGGAAUGGCGGUUGCCAGGGGAUGGGGGAAGGGAAAAUGGGAAGCUGUUGAAAUGAGUCCAGAGUUUCAGUUUGGAAAUGAUGACAGAGCUCUGGAGAUUGGUUGCACCACAAUAUGAACAUAGUUAACACUAUGGCAUUGUACAUUUAGAAAUGAUUAAGAUGGAAAAUUUUACGUUAGAUGUAUUUUACCACAACUAAAAAUUUAAAAGAAAGAAAAAAACAGCUAUGAAGAUUUCUAAGUCUUGGGCCUUAUUUUGCCAUGAGGAAAAAUAAAUACAUCCCAUAAAAAAAAUCCUAAAUGGAUCUGGUAAUGUUAUUCUGUAUGUAAAGUCAUUUUCUUGAGCAACAUAGGAAAUAGUCUUUAAUCUUUUGGAAUAUCAUAGGAAAAAAAGCGGCUAAAAGUCACAUUGUUCUGCCUCAAUUCACCAGAGUUUUUAUGGAACUCAAUUAUUGGUUAACAGUGGAAGUUCUUGCUGGAUAAUUUUUCACUUUUCUGAUCAUCUGGGAUAGAGUUUUAAGACUUUCCUAGUUCCUCCAGGUACAGAGCUAUAGGAUUCACUUGGCUAUGUUGCUCUCCCAUUUCUACAUAGUUUUAAAAAUUAUGGAAUCUUUCUUUUCAUGGUGUUUGGUUCUAUAAUAAUCAGCGGCUGAUAAAAAAAAUCAGUGUUCUACCUCUUGAUUCUGAUGGCCGUUUUCAUACUCCUUGUAGGAACUACAAUACUGGUUUCUGUCUGAACUUGCAGCCGCAGAGCAUGAGAGAAAUAACCAUUGAACUCUAAAUAACUGCUUUCCAAAUUUUGUGCUGGCUGUCUAAUUCAAACUAUUAUCUAUCUAUCUAUCAUCUAUCAUCUAUCUAUCUAUCUAUCUAUCUAUCUAUCUAUCUUUUAUCUCAUAGCACUGUGGAAUUUAAUUUAAUUAAU
rnacentral:lncRNA from 1 species